rnacentral:rRNA from 1 species
CACGUAGGGUGCAAGCGUUGUCCGGAAUUAUUGGGCGUAAAGAGCUCGUAGGCGGAUGUGCCAGUCAGGGGUGAAAUCCCGGAGCUCAACUCCGGAACUGCCUCUGAUACAGCACGUCUUGAGUCCGGAAGAGGUGGGUGGAAUUCCUAGUGUAGAGGUGAAAUUCGUAGAUAUUAGGAAGAACACCGGUGGCGAAGGCGGCCCACUGGUCCGGUACUGACGCUGAGGUGCGAAAGCGUGGGGAGCAAACAGG